rfam:Gossypium raimondii Chr09_contig_1569, whole genome shotgun sequence.
CACGUCAGCGCGCUUUGCUGACGUGGCAACAAAUCGUGCCCUCUAGGAUGAGAUUUUCUGCCACGUCAGCAAAGCGCGCUGACGUGG